rnacentral:rRNA from 1 species
AGUGAACGCUGGCGGUAGGCCUAACACAUGCAAGUCGAACGGCAGCACAGUAAGAGCUUGCUCUUACGGGUGGCGAGUGGCGGACGGGUGAGGCAUACAUCGGAAUCUACUUUUUCGUGGGGGAUAACGUAGGGAAACUUACGCUAAUACCGCAUAUGACCUACGGGUGAAAGCAGUGGAUCUUCGGACCUUGCGCGAUUGAAUGAGCCGAUGUCGGAUUAGCUAGUUGGCGAGGUAAAGGCCCACCAAGGCGACGAUCCGUAGCUGGUCUGAGAGGAUGAUCAGCCACACUGGAACUGAGACACGGUCCAGACUCCUACGGGAGGCAGCAGUAGGGAAUAUUGGACAAUGGGCGCAAGCCUGAUCCAGCCAUACCGCGUGAGUGAAGAAGGCCUUCGGAUUGUAAAGCCCUUUUGUUGGGAAAGAAAAGCAGCAGGUUAAUACCCCGCUGUUCUGACGGUACCCAAAGAAUAAGCACCGGCUAACUUCGUG